rnacentral:rRNA from 1 species
UUGAAAUUGUUUAUUUUAACAUUAAUCUAUAUGUGAAUUUUUGUGCUGCUUAAAUUUCUUGAUGAAGUUUUUGGUGAUGUGUUGUGCAGUAGGUAAUAUUAUUGACAUUAAGUUAAUUUAGAUUUGGUAAAUGUUAUUAGGUUUGGUAAAGGUUGUGCCAGCAUCCGCGGUUAAACAACAAAAUCAAAUAAACAUUAUUGGCUUUGAAGUAAUUAACAUUUAAUUUGUAAAUAGAAAUUGAACUAUAUUUAGGGUGGAAUAUAUAAUAUAUUUUGGAUUAUAUUUAUUUAGUGUGAUUAUUAUGAAAUUGAAAUUAUAAACUAGGAUUAGAUACCCUAUUAUUUUUAUUGUAAAGUUUAUUCAAGCUAGAGUAUUAAUAGUUAUGAUCUUUAAACUUAAAGAAUUUGGCGGUAUUAUAGUCUAUUUAGAGGAAUCUGUUAUGUAAUCGAUAAUCCGCGUUGAACCUUACUUGUAUUAUUUUUUGUAUACCUCUGUUUAAGAGUAUACUUUUAGGUAAAUUUUCUGAAUAUAAUAAUAUUUAAUAUUUCAAGUCAAGGUGCAGUAAUAUAUAAGUUGAAUAAUGGAUUACAAUAAGUUUUAUUUAAAUGGAUUGUUAUUGAAAUAUAAUUAUGAAGGUGGAUUUAAUUGUAAUUUUAUGAAGAUUAUUAAAAUGAUUUAUAGCUCUAUAAUAUGUACACAUCGCCCGUCACUCUCGUUAUUAAGAUGAGAUAAGUCGUAACAAAGUAGGUGUAUCGGAAGAUGUACCUAGAAAGUUUUAUU